rnacentral:rRNA from 1 species
GAUGAACGCUGGCGGCGUGCCUAAUACAUGCAAGUCGAGCGAACAGACGAGGAGCUUGCUCCUCUGACGUUAGCGGCGGACGGGUGAGUAACACGUGGAUAACCUACCUAUAAGACUGGGAUAACUUCGGGAAACCGGAGCUAAUACCGGAUAAUAUAUUGAACCGCAUGGUUCAAUAGUGAAAGACGGUUUUGCUGUCACUUAUAGAUGGAUCCGCGCCGCAUUAGCUAGUUGGUAAGGUAACGGCUUACCAAGGCAACGAUGCGUAGCCGACCUGAGAGGGUGAUCGGCCACACUGGAACUGAGACACGGUCCAGACUCCUACGGGAGGCAGCAGUAGGGAAUCUUCCGCAAUGGGCGAAAGCCUGACGGAGCAACGCCGCGUGAGUGAUGAAGGUCUUCGGAUCGUAAAACUCUGUUAUUAGGGAAGAACAAAUGUGUAAGUAACUAUGCACGUCUUGACGGUACCUAAUCAGAAAGCCACGGCUACUACGUG